CAAAGUGCUGAGAUUAUAGGCGUAAGCCACCACACCCGGCCUAGAUACUAUUAUUAUUGGUAUCCCCAUGUUAUAUAUGUGUUAACUGAGACACAGGAAAGUGAACGUGCCCAAGAUCACACAGCUAGCAACUGACAUAGCUAGGGUUUGAAUCAAAGCAUCACUCACAAGAGACCAAAAUUUAUAAUAAAACGUAAAAGUAUGAGAUUAUGUUAUUUUUUAAGUUACAUUUAAGUUUCAAUUAUUUAGGUUGUUUUACAUCUAGGUAAUUUUCUUAGGAUGAAAAAACUAUAUAUUUUGCUGAAAUUUUUUCAUAUUCUCCCAAACAUGGUAUGAUAGCAGGAUACAUAAUCCUCCACACUCAAAUUUCCCAACAUGAUUCAAACAAAAAGCAUUUGUGCAAAAUUAUUUGAGCAUUUCAUCAGUUUUCUCAAAAGCCUCUCCUAAGACUCUGAUAUUCAAAUAAUUUUCUUUUGAAGUACCUGAGCAAUUGGUUUGAUUGAAUUUACAUUGUGUACUCAUAUAUUAGCAUGCGGCUGCUCUGGAAAAAUGGGAUGUACAAGGACAUAAGUAGCUUUAAGAGGAGAACUGUCUCCUAGAGUGGGAGCUAAUUUGAUAAUAUUAAUGAUAUUUUCAUCUCAAGAUGGCCUUUGCUUCCCUGUGCAACCUGGCAACAACAAGGACUUUGAUAAUGAGAGCUGAGCUAAUGAGGACCUGCUGCCAUUUCACAGACAUAAACUAUCCUGCCUUCCUUAGGGAACAGCCCCAGCUUAGCUGAUCUGAUGACAGCAUUCGGUGAAUUUUGAGGCAGACCCUAGGAUGACCUCCAGUGAUCCCUGCCACCUGGCACUCAUGCUUCUGUGUAAUUCUUUCCCCUUGGGUAUGGGUGGGACCUGUCAGUUGCCUUUAAUAGAUAGAUCACGAGAUGUAUGUGAUUACAUGUACAUUAGUAUGUUACAGAAGGUUGUAAUGUCCUUCUUGCUAACACAUUCUUCCUUCCUGGUUUUGAUGAAUCAAGGCGUCCUGCUGUGGGCUGCUCUAUGGAGUGGCCUAUGUGUCCAGAACUGAAGAUAAUUUCCAACUCCCAGCCAGCAAAACACAGAGGUCCUCAGUCCAGCAUCCCAUGAAGAACUGAAUUCUGCCAACGACUACAUGAGAUGAGACUGCAAUCCUGGUCAGAAAUGCAACUGCAGCUUUCAGAUGAGACUCUGGAAUAGAGAACCCAACAAACAGAUGCCUGGACUCCUGACUCGAACCCACAGCAGUGGAGGGACUGUUCCAGAGCCUCCCUCUUAAUACUUCCAACUGUAAUAACAUUCACAUCACAGGGCAGGGAGCCAGUGUGACUCUUCUGCCAGUACUUUGAUUACAACUAAGCACUCCAGAACUAAGGAAGUAACUAUAAGAUGAGUUCAAGGAUCCACUGAGGUCACUGGGACCAGUCCCCUAGAAUCAGGACGUGCUUGCCCCUGAAGGUUGAAGCUGACGUCUGUCCCUCCAGGAAACCUCUUUCCAUCAAAGCAUGUCCCACUGUCAUCCCUGGUCUACAGAGGGCAUCCACUUUUCAAGAAUGCCAACACCUCUCUCACCAAUGUUUUGCUCCCUGUGGAAUGGCCUUACUGUUCAAAUUCAGAUGCACUUGGCAAGUUCAGAAGACAAGAGUGAAGAUGAGAAGCCACCGGCCUCAUGUGGAAGGUGAGUCUUUCUCUAGCUCCCCACUGCACAUGCAAGCUUGCUUUCCAUCCAUACCACAUGGUCCAGAAGUUUUCCUGUAUAUUCAUCAGCUUGGGCUACCACAGGACAAAAGACUUAGCGGCUUAAGUAACAGAAAUGUACUUUCUCAUAGUUCUGGGGUCUGGACUGGGUGCAGCGUGGUUGGGUUCUGGUGAGGACUCUCUCCCUGACUUGCAGACAGCUGCCUUCCCACUGUGCGCUUGCAUGGCCUUUCCUCGGGAUGCACAUGUGGAGAGAGAGAGAGCUCCAGUAUCUCUUCUUUUUUUGGAUGGGUGCCACCUCUGUCGGAUUAGGGCCCCACCCUUAUGACCUCAUUUAACCUUAGUCCUUAAAGCCCCUGUCUCCAGUAUAGUCGCAUGUAGGAUUAGGGCUUCAACAUGUGAAUUUAGGGAGAAGGAAGACAACUCAGUCCCUAGCAUCCUGGGAUCUAGAUACUGGAGGAUACAGUCCAUGUCUGACAGCAAUCUCAGGGUUCUAGAAAACAUUUCAUGCUUGAAAAUAGUUGCCAGAAAUGUUUGAAAUUGAGCAAGUGGAAUUUAAAGGGAAAGACUUUGCCUUUAGAUUCUAAGCUCCAGGAGGGCAGGGACUGUGCCUCAGUAUUUCAGCACCCAGCACAGCAGCAAGCCCUGAUAAAUGUGAAUUCAGAAAAGGCAGCCCUUCCCAAAGAUAGAAGAUCAGUAGUUUGUGGGACUUACUGUGUCACCUUCAUUUGGCUCCUGUUAGGAAUCCAGAGAGAGGGUAAAACGGUUCCUGUCACCCCUGAAGAUUGACUGGAGCCUGGAAUUUUCCAGAGGUUUCCAGAAUUUUCCCAGUUUCCUGCUAUCCCUUCCCUGUUCUGGUUCUGUUUCUGAGGACACAGCUGUCAGCUUUCAGCUUAGAUGCUCUGUUUAAACUGUCCUGAGAGACAUAAAAUUUUCCACUC